UGGGGAAUUUUGGACAAUGGGCGAAAGCCUGAUCCAGCAAUGCCGCGUGUGUGAAGAAGGCCUUCGGGUUGUAAAGCACUUUUGUCCGGAAAGAAAUCCUUGGCUCUAAUACAGUCGGGGGAUGACGGUACCGGAAGAAUAAGCACCGGCUAACUACGUGCCAGCAGCCGCGGUAAUACGUAGGGUGCAAGCGUUAAUCGGAAUUACUGGACGUAAAGCGUGCGCAGGCGGUUUGCUAAGACCGAUGUGAAAUCCCCGGGCUCAACCUGGGAACUGCAUUGGUGACUGGCAGGCUAGAGUAUGGCAGAGGGGGGUAGAAUUCCACGUGUAGCAGUGAAAUGCGUAGAGAUGUGGAGGAAUACCGAUGGCGAAGGCAGCCCCCUGGGCCAAUACUGACGCUCAUGCACGAAAGCGUGGGGAGCAAACAGGAUUAGAUACCCUGGUAGUCCACGCCCUAAACGAUGUCAACUAGUUGUUGGGGAUUCAUUUCCUUAGUAACGUAGCUAACGCGUGAAGUUGACCGCCUGGGGAGUACGGCCGCAAGAUUAAAACUCAAAGGAAUUGACGGGGUCAUAGCUGUUUCCU
rnacentral:rRNA from 1 species